ACUCCUACGGGAGGCAGCAGUGGGGAAUAUUGCACAAUGGGGGAAACCCUGAUGCAGCCAUGCCGCGUGUGUGAAGAAGGCCUUCGGGUUGUAAAGCACUUUCAGUAGGGAGGAAGGUAGUGUAGUUAACACCUGCAUUAUUUGACGUUACCUACAGAAGAAGCACCGGCUAACUCCGUGCCAGCAGCCGCGGUAAUACGGAGGGUGCGAGCGUUAAUCGGGAAUUACUGGGCGUAAAGCGCAUGCAGGCGGCCUGUUAAGUCAGAUGUGAAAGCCCGGGGUCUUAACCUCGGAAUUGCAUUUGAAACUGGCAGGCUAGAGUCUUGUAGAGGGGUUAGAAUUUCAGGUGUAGCGGUGAAAUGCGUAGAGAUCUGAAGGAAUACCAGUGGCGAAGGCGGCCCCUGGACAAAGCUGACGCUCAGAUGCGAAAGCGUGGGAGCAAACAGGAUUAGAUACCCCGUGGUAGCGACUGA
rnacentral:rRNA from 1 species